rnacentral:piRNA from 1 species
CUGUAAUGGGUGUAAAGCAAAAAC